CCCAGUUCGGAUUGUAGUCUGCAACCCGACUACAUGAAGCUGGAAUCGCUAGUAAUCGCAGGUCAGCAUACUGCGGUGAAUACGUUCCCGGGUCUUGUACACACCGCCCGUCACACCAUGGGAGCCGGAAAUGCCCGAAGCCAGUGACCCAACCUUAGGGAGGGAGCUGUCGAAGGUGGAGCCGGUAACUGGGGUGAAGUCGUAACAAGGUAUC
rnacentral:rRNA from 1 species